GACAGAGGGUGCAAACGUUGUUCGGAAUUACUGGGCGUAAAGGGCUCGUAGGCGGCCAACUAAGUCAGACGUGAAAUCCCUAGGCUCAACCUAGGAACUGCGUCUGAUACUGGAUGGCUUGAAUCCGGGAGAGGGAUGCAGAAUUCCAGGUGUAGCGGUGAAAUGCGUAGAUAUCUGGAGGAAUACCGGUGGCGAAGGCGGCAUCCUGGACCGGCAUUGACGCUGAGGAGCGAAAGCCAGGGGAGCAAACGGG
rnacentral:rRNA from 1 species